GGCGGUGACCAGGGGAGCCCCGAGGCUGUGAGCGCCCCGGGAGGGUGGGAGGAGUCCUGGCGGCGGGGAAGGCAUGAAGUUAGACCUGAAUUGUUCAGCAGUCGGGGCGUCCCAGGCCGCGGGCACAACUUAGGCAAAGGCCCAAAGGCAGGAAGCCAAGGUGAUUCCGGACAGCGGAGCAGUCAAGUCUGAUCACAGCCGUUGGGCCGGGAGCCGAGGAGUUGGGAGAGGUUGGGGAGCUGAGAAAAAGGGAGACAGUCCCAGCGCGGAGUCAGGAGGGGAAGACGGUGCUAGAGGGAGAAGCUCCCUGCCUCUCCGGACCUAGCAGGCAUCAAGUGCCGGAGACCUUCGGGGAGGACGCUGAGGCCCAGGUGGAUGUGUGGUCCUGGGAUUCCUUUCCAACCCUGCCACCAGAGACCCACCCAGUCCUCCCCUCUGCACACAGCUUCUGCGCAGUAAUUUCUUGUGCAUCUUUCCGGAGGAAUUUAUACAUCUGUACAUAUAUGUUACCCCAGCCUCCUCUUUUAUUACUUUUUGUCCCUGGAUGGAAUCACAUUAUCCUAAACUGUUUUUUUUUUUUUU